rnacentral:rRNA from 1 species
AUGAACGCUAGCGACAGGCCUAACACAUGCAAGUCGAGGGAAAGAGUAGCAAUACUUGAAACCGGCGCACGGGUGCGUAACGCGUAUGCAACCUACCUUUUACUGGGGGAUAGCUUUCGGAAACGGAAAUUAAUACCCCAUAACACUGCGAUAUCACCUGAUGUUGUAGUUAAAGCUCCGGCGGUAAAAGAUGGGCAUGCGUGACAUUAGCUAGUUGGUAGGGUAACGGCCUACCAAGGCAACGAUGUCUAGGGGUUCUGAGAGGAAGGUCCCCCACACUGGUACUGAGACACGGACCAGACUCCUACGGGAGGCAGCAGUGAGGAAUAUUGGUCAAUGGGCGCAAGCCUGAACCAGCCAUGUCGCGUGCAGGAUGACUGCCCUAUGGGUUGUAAACUGCUUUUGUAUGGGAAGAAAGUGAGAUACGUGUAUCUCUUUGCCGGUACCAUACGAAUAAGGAUCGGCUAACUCCGUGCCAGCAGCCGCGGUAAUACGGAGGAUCCAAGCGUUAUCCGGAUUUAUUGGGUUUAAAGGGUGCGUAGGCGGUUUAUUAAGUCAGUGGUGAAAUCUUGCAGCUUAACUGUAAAAUUGCCAUUGAUACUGAUAGACUUGAGUAUAGUUGAGGUGGGCGGAAUGUGUUGUGUAGCGGUGAAAUGCAUAGAUAUAACACAGAACACCAAUUGCGAAGGCAGCUCACUAAGCUAUAACUGACGCUGAGGCACGAAAGCGUGGGUAGCGAACAGGAUUAGAUACCCUGGUAGUCCACGCCGUAAACGAUGAUUACUCGUUGCAGGCGAUAUACAGUCUGUGACCAAGCGAAAGCAUAAGUA